GACGAACGCUGGCGGCGUGCUUAACACAUGCAAGUCGAACGGAAAGGCCCUGCUUUUGUGGGGUGCUCGAGUGGCGAACGGGUGAGUAACACGUGAGUAACCUGCCCUUGACUUUGGGAUAACUUCAGGAAACUGGGGCUAAUACCGGAUAGGAGCUCCUGCUGCAUGGUGGGGGUUGGAAAGUUUCGGCGGUUGGGGAUGGACUCGCGGCUUAUCAGCUUGUUGGUGGGGGAGUGGCUUACCAAGGCUUUGACGGGUAGCCGGCCUGAGAGGGUGACCGGGCACAAUGGGACUGAGAGACGGCCCAGACUCCUACGGGAGGCAGCAGUGGGGAAUAUUGCACAAUGAGCGGAAGCCUGAUGCAGCAGCGCCGCGUGCGGGAUGACGGCCUUCGGGUUGUGAACCGCUUUCGCCUGUGACGAAGCGUGAGUGACGGUAAUGGGUAAAGAAGCACCGGCUAACUACGUG
rnacentral:rRNA from 1 species